UUGAUCCUGGCUCAGAAUCAACGCUGGCGGCGUGCCUAACACAUGCAAGUCGAACGCGAAAACCCCGCAAGGGGCAAGUAGAGUGGCAAACGGGUGAGUUACGCGUGGGUGACCUACCUUCGAGUGGGGGAUAACGUCUCGAAAGGGACUCUAAUACCGCAUGACAUCGUGCCUUUGAACAGGUGAUGAUCAAAGCCGGUAUCGCAAGACCUGGCGCUUGAAGAGGGGCCCGCGUCCGAUUAGCUAGUUUGUGGGGUAACGGCUCACCAAGGCGACGAUCGGUAGCCGGCCUAAGAGGGUGGACGGCCACACUGGGACUGAGACACGGCCCAGACUCCUACGGGAGGCAUCCGUGGGGAAUUGUUCGCAAUGGGCGCAAGCCUGACGACGCAACGCCGCUUGGAGGAUGAAGAUCUUCGGGUCGUAAACUCCUGUCGAGCGGGACGAAAUGCCCGCGACCUAAUACGUCGCGGGAGUGACGGUACCGCUAGAGGAAGCCUCGGCUAACUCCGUGCCAGCAGCCGCGGUAAUAAGGU
rnacentral:rRNA from 1 species